rnacentral:misc_RNA from 1 species
GAUGAAGAACGUAGCGAAAUGCGAUAAGUAAUGCGAAUUGCAGAAUUCAGUGAGUCAUCGAAUCUUUGAACGCACAUUGCGCCCUGUGGUAUUCCGCAGGGCAUGCCUGUUCGAGCGUCAUUUCAACCCUCAAGCUCUGCUUGGUGUUGGGCCCUGCCCGCUGCGGCCGGCCCUAAAGACAGUGGCGGUGCCGCCUGGCCCUGAGCGUAGUACAUCUCUCGCUCCAGUGCCCGGUGGUAGCCUGCCAGAACCCCAACUCUCGUGGUUGACCUCGGAUCAGGUAGGGAUACCCGCUGAACUUAAGCAUAUCAAUAAGCGGGGA